CAGGAUUGACGAAUUAUUUGAAGGAACUAGGGAUUUUGUUGGGCCUAUGUUCGGUAUGGUUUUCAGACCAGAAAAGGAAGUUCUGAAAGAUGCACAGGAAAAAUUGUUACCAAGAUAUUUGCCCGUUUUUAAUAAAGUAUUAGAGGAGAACGGAAGUGGUUAUCUUGUUGGUAAAAGUUUGACCUUGGCUGACCUUAGUUUAAUAGAGCCUCUACUAAGAUUUGUAGAAUAUCUGGGUGACCAAGUCUUAACAGGAUAUCUACAACUACAGACUUUGUAUAAGAAUAUGAUUUCAAAUGAAAAGAUAGCAUCCUUCCUGUCUGGGCCACAUAGAAAACCUAAAAAUGAUCAGGCGUACGUCGAUGUCUGGUCGUAAAUGAUCCUAGAGGUUUAUUCCAGUUAUUCUGGUACUAGGCAUAUUACAUAGAGAAAAAAAUAUAUUAUUAUAUUAAUUAACAUUUAAUAAAAUAUAAGUUUUACGAUCCAUUUAAUACAAGGUUUAUUAAGAAGGGAUAAAAUUGUAAUGUGUAA